AGUGAACGCUGGCGGUAGGCCUAACACAUGCAAGUCGAACGGCAGCACAGUAAGAGCUUGCUCUUACGGGUGGCGAGUGGCGGACGGGUGAGGAAUACAUCGGAAUCUACUUUUUCGUGGGGGAUAACGUAGGGAAACUUACGCUAAUACCGCAUACGACCUACGGGUGAAAGCAGGGGAUCUUCGGACCUUGCGCGAUUGAAUGAGCCGAUGUCGGAUUAGCUAGUUGGCGGGGUAAAGGCCCACCAAGGCGACGAUCCGUAGCUGGUCUGAGAGGAUGAUCAGCCACACUGGAACUGAGACACGGUCCAGACUCCUACGGGAGGCAGCAGUGGGGAAUAUUGGACAAUGGGCGCAAGCCUGAUCCAGCCAUACCGCGUGGGUGAAGAAGGCCUUCGGGUUGUAAAGCCCUUUUGUUGGGAAAGAAAAGAAGAAGGUUAAUACCCCGCUGUUCUGACGGUACCCAAAGAAUAAGCACCGGCUAACUUCGUG
rnacentral:rRNA from 1 species